rnacentral:rRNA from 1 species
GACGAACGCUGGCGGCGUGCCUAAUACAUGCAAGUCGAACGCAGUGGGGACGGGUGAGUAACACGUGGGUAACCUCCCAUCAGAGGGGAUAAAUCUUGGAAACAGGUGCUAAACCGAUACUGAUGGAUGGACCCGCGGUGCAUGAGCUAGUUGGUGAGGUAACGGCUCACCAAGGCCACGAUGCCUAGCCAAACUGAGAGGGUGACAGGCCAAACUGGGACUGAGACAAGACCCAGACACAUACGGGAGGCAGCAGAAGGGAAUCUUCGGCAAUGGAAGAAAGUCUGACCAAGCAACGCCGCGUGAGUGAAGAAGGUUUUAGGAUCGUAAAGCUCUGUUUGUAGGGAAGCGGUAACUAACCAGAAAGGGAUGGCUAACUCCGUGCCAGCACCGCGGUAAUUC